rnacentral:rRNA from 1 species
GUCGCACGAGAAAGUAAGCUUGCUUUACGAGUAAAGUGGCGCACGGGUGAGUAAUGCAUAAGUAAUCUACCUUCGAAACUGGGACAACCUUCCGAAAGGGGGGCUAAUACCGGAUAAGACCACGAUAUACAUUAUAGUGGUAAAAGAUGACCUCUGCUUGCAAGUUAUCAUUUGAAGAUGAGCUUAUGUCCUAUCAGCUUGUUGGUGGGGUAAAGGCCUACCAAUGCUAUGACGGGUACCUGGUCUGAGAGGAUGACCAGGCACACUGGAACUGAGACACGGUCCAGACUCCUACGGGAGGCAGCAGUAGGGAAUUUUGCGCAAUGGGAGAAAUCCUGACGCAGCGACGCCGCGUGAGUGAUGAAGGCUUUCGGGCUGUAAAACUCUGUUUAGUGGGAAGAAGGGUUUAAGGCUAAUAUCCUUAAGCAUUGACGGUACCACUAGAGUAAGCACCGGCUAACUCCGUGCCAGCAGCCGCGGUAAUACGGAGGGUGCAAGCGUUGAUCGGAAUUACUGGGCGUAAAGCGAGAGCAGGUGGUUUAAUAAGUCAGAUGUGAAAUCUCUAGGCUUAACCUAGAAACUGCAUCUGAUACUAUUAAACUAGAGUGUAAGAGAGGGUGAUGGAAUUCCCAGUGUAGGGGUAAAAUCCGUAGAUAUUGGGAGGAACACCGGAGGCGAAGGCGAUCACCUGGCUUACAACUGACACUCAUCCUCGAGAGC